CGCAGGAAGCGCCGCAGCCGCCUCGGCGCCUCCCGCUCGGCGCUCUCCUGUGGCAGGUUUCUAGAGACAGGCGCAAGAGAAACCUUGACUUUCUUCUGUAUGGCUAGGUCCUGGUGGUUACCCCUGAUCAAGAUCAUGGUAAAGUAAACUUGAGGAACUUUACCUGUCCUCCUGGUGAAGGUAAGGAGUUUUUAUUAAGAGGGUUUGACUUCUGAGGGAUAUAUAACUGUGUCAAGCACUAGUUGAGGGAAUGUAAUACUUAGUGUUGAGAUGAACUGCUGAGAUCCAGUUUGCAAACUAGCCAGCUAAAGAUCAAAUGGCAGAGAAAACUGAGUAACUAAAAUAGAUAGGAAGAGACUUAGAGGAUUCUGUGUCUCAACGUUGUAAUUAUAAGAGCACUGGAGUGGAAAAUGUUGCAAAUAGCUUUCAUGACUUUGGCCAAAAUAUGUCGUAUAAUACCGCCUUCCUAAUUUUGCUAGGAUAAUGACAGGUUUAAUAA